UCGGAUCAGAUGGAACUGAACGAACUAAACUAGAGCAAGUCAGAAUCAGAUUAAACGGGAAAUCUGGGGCGAACAGAACGGAAACUGAACUGAAUGGAGCAGAGAGGCUUAGCGGAUCUGAACAAAAACAGAAUGGAGGCGUCGUUGGAUCUGGGCUUCGAUCUAAACUUCAAAGGCAGACAUGAAGAAUGGGUCUGAACGAAAUCAGACAGGUCUGGAACAGAUUGGAGGCGGACGCGAGGAUCUGAGGACAUGGGGUUUCAUGGGUUUUGUCGAGACAACAUAAGAAGAUGGAGCAACGACAACGAAACGCAGCGGCGAGCGGAGCUUCUUGGACGACGGACAAAACCGAAACUCUUCGGCUGGGCGUUCGGCUUCAACUGGUAGAGGUUCAAUCGGCUGCUUGGCUAACAGAAAAACAAGAGGUCGGACGAAGAACUAUGAAGGAGAUGGCCGCCGCGGACGCUAGUGAAAAACAAAUGGGGUUUCUGGGGUUUGGAUAGUGGCAGAUUUGAACAGCAAUGAGUGGCAAAGGGAAGGUGCAACGACAACGGCAGAUUUGCAGAUCUAAGGGGUGGCUUCGGCUAAUGGGAGAUGAUUUUGCCUCCGUUGAUGGCUAAUGAGAGAUGAUUCUGCCUCCGUUGAUGAAUGAUCAACGGAGGCAGGGGUGUGGAGGCUAGAAUUCCAUAAAAAAAAAAAAAAUUUAAUAUCAAAUAAUAUCUCCAGAAUAAUAUCUCCUCAGAAUAAUCUAAUUAUAUUAAUAGGGACCAUGUACCUUAAGCUGAAAUACAUGAUAUUUUCAUGUGGAAAGAAGUGUGGGAAGACCGUGCAUAAUGAAAGUGGCAAUGACUAUUGGAAAAAAAGACCAGAAUUUUUUCAACUACCAUAUUGGAAACACUUGCAUGUUCGACACUGUUUAGACGUAAUGCAUAUUGAAAAAAAUGUAUGCAUGAACAUAGUGGGCACCUUGCUUGAUAUACCAGGAAAAAGUAAGGAUGAGAUGAAUACUUGACUUGACUUGGUUGAAAUGAAAAUUAGACCAGAAUUGGCACCAAUGUUUACUGGUAAUAGAACUUACAUUCCUGCGACAUGUUAUACAAUGUCAAGAGAAGAGAAGUAUUAGUUGUGUAAGACUUUGUCAGAAAUCAAAAUUUCAGAAGGUUAUUCAUCAAAUAUUAGCAGUCGUGUCUCUUUGGAUGAUUUAAAACUGACUGGCCUUAAGUCACACGACUGUCAUGUUUUAAUGCAGCAACUGCUUCCAAUUGCAAAACGUUCAGUUCUACCGAAGAAUAUGAGGUACACUAUCAAUAGAUUUGCUUUUUCUUCAAUGCGAUUUACGCCAAAAGUUUAUCCGUCUCAGAUCUUGAUGCAGUGCAAUAAGAUAUAGUUCUGAUUUUAUGCAAUCUUGAUAAGUAUUUCAUACCCUCGUUCUUUACAAUCAUGAUUCACCUUGUCGUUCAUCUUGUUAAAGAAGUAAAGCUUUGUGGACCUGUAUAUUUGUGGUGGAUGUACCCAUUUGAAGAUGCAUGAAAGUGUUGAAAAGUUAUGUUCGCAAUAGAACUCGACCGAAAGGAUGCAUUGCAGAAGCAAGCAUAUGUGAGGAGGCAGUUGAAUUCUGUUAAGAUUUUCUUUCUGGAUUAGAUCCUAUUGGACUUGGGUCAUUCAAUUCAAGGGCAGACAUACAAAACGAUCGACCACUAUCAGUAGGAACAUACGUUCGACCCGACGCUGACAACUGAAGCAAGCACAUCUUCAUGUCUUACAAAACACUGGAGAAGUGCACCCAUACGUUGAGUAAACAUUCAUAUGAUUAUAUACUGCCAUUAAUUUACCCUCAAGGGACCAUUUUAAUAUAUGAAACAUUUUGUAGACAACAUUUCAAUCAAUUAAAGAUGGAAAAUCGCAGAAGAGCCAAAAAUGAACAAUGGCUACAAGUUGAACAUAAUCGAUCAUUCGAUACAUGGUUUGAGGAUCAGGUGACGAGUGAACUACAAGAAGGAAAGGUUCUUUCGAACACCAUACGUUGGCUUGCACGUGGACCCCACCCUGCUUUAAUGACGUACAACGGAUACAUAAUUAAUGGAAAGUCUUACCACAAAGUCUCGUUUUGUACAUAAUUAAUGGACCAUCAAACUGUUCAAAACUGUGGGAUUAUGUUAUUUGCAACAACAAUGCAAGUGUCUAGUGCGAAGGACAAAAACCUGAUCUUUGUGACAUGUUUUUUUAUGGCACCAUUCAAAAUAUUUGGGAAGUCAACUACAAUA